ACGGCUGAGUAACACGUCGGAAUCUUCCCCAAACUCGAGUAUAGCUUCGUGAAAACGGAGGUAAUCCUCGAUGUAGAGGCAACUCUAAAGAUUUAUCGGUUUGGGAUGAGCCGGCGGCUUAUCAGGUAGUUGGUAGGGUAAAUGCCUACCAAGCCUAUGACGAGUAGCUGGUGUGAGAGCACGACCAGCCAGAGGGGCACUGAGACACGGGCCUCACUCCUACGGGAGGCAGCAAUCGGGAAUAUUGCACAAUGGACGAAAGUCUGAUGCAGCGACGCCGCGUGAAGGAUGAAUGCCCUCGGGUUGUAAACUUCGUUAUAAGGACCGGCUAACUACGUGCCAGCAGCAGCGGUCAAACGUAGAGUCCAAGCAUUACCCGGAGUUACUGGGCGUAAAGAGUUCUGUAGGCUGUUAGAUAAGUCAGGGGUAAAAUCCUCCGGCCCAACCGGAGACCUGCUUCUGAUACUAUCUGACUAGAGGCAACUAGGGAAUAGCGGAACGUAUGGUGUAGCAGUAAAAUGCGUUGAUAUCAUACGGAACACCAAGGGGGAAGCCAGCUAUUUGGGGUUGUCCUGACGCUGAGAGACGAAAGCGUAGGUAGCGAAACGGAUUAGAUACCCGUGUAGUCUACGCUGUAAACUAUG
rnacentral:rRNA from 1 species